GUCACAGAAGUACAGGAGGUAGUGAAGGAGAACCACUAGAAGUCAGAUGGAAUAUGAUGUAAAGACCUUGCGAAGACUUGAUGUGAAAUGAAAAGGUUGCCCUUUGGAUACAGACCUAAAAGCUGUUGCAGCUGAAGCCCUAAGGGAGGACAACGACCUCAUUUGGAUCAAAUGUCUUUGCUCCCUGUGGGCUGACUGCAUCAGAUCUCUGGAAGGUUAAUUAUUACCAGCGACUACCAGAGAUGGAACCGGCUGUCAGCAUUUGAGCAAGGGGUAAAAAUGACAGCCGGUGCGUGCAUUUAGCCACACGCACGUUGGCAGGGUAUGGCUGGGAAUGAAAGGGAGUGUUGCGGACUGCUCCAGCAUCCUCGUGCGCUCGCCCGCUGCUCUGCUCCGGCACAGGCACGCAGCUGGGUGGGAACAAGCAAGCCUGUGGAGCUCCCUGUUCAGCCCGAGAGGCUGAGGCGUCCAAAAGAAGCUCUGCAGGAAGAUCUGCCGAGGAGGAAAAUACAACAGGCGCCGUGUGGAACGCAGCUGAGGACAGCCAGGGGGGGACACACCAGCCCCCUAAGGGGGUGCCUGGGGUCCAGCCUGGAUGUGGCAUCCACCAGCACCAUGAGCUCGGUGCAGCACUCUGAGAAGGGCAGCGCAGACCACAGCAAGCAUGGCAGUAUAACCGUCGAAUAUGGCAAGCAUCAGGAACAGACUGAAGCAUGGAGAAUGGCAGGGAGAAGAGGCCAACCCCCAUCUCACUGCUACCUCCUUUCAGGGAGCUGUCAAGGGCAAUAAGGUCUGCCCUGAGCCCUCUCUUCUCCAGACUGGACGCUUCCAGUUCCAUCAGCCUUUGGAAGCCUGCCCCAUGCUGCCCUCACAAACAGCCCCAUGGUCCCUGAUGCCGUGCAUCUCACCCCAGCCAGGUCCACAGUGAAAGGUCACCUCCACCCAAACAGGCUCUAUCUGGUAGGUAAAGCAGGUGGAAGGAAGCCAUUGGAGAUGUCAGUGAUGUGCUCCAUGUCACCCAACAGGGCCGUGGUAGGGAUAGAAGGUGAGCCUUGCUGUCUCCAGCGCAGUGCGUGUCAGCUGGUGUCAUCCUGCAGCAGCACUGAAAACCUGCCAAUGCUGACCUUGCAAAACCAGCCUCCAGGAGUCAUGACAUCAGCUGUUUUACAGUCAUCUCUUUGUAUCUGCUUUAUUUUCUGUUUCUUGAGCUCUUAAACAGACUUUAAGUAUCUUUAUCUUAACAGAGCUCUAUCCCCAUAGACAAGAGCACAGGGUGAUGCUCCCUCUGCCUGCAGCCCCAUGCCUGGGUCUUGGUGGUUCCCACCAGGAUGCAUAAAACAGGCUCAGGGGAGUGACUGAUGAGUAUUGGUCAAUGCUAUGGGAAAAUCUGGAAAUAAAACCAAUAUCAAUCCCAUUGUCCAGUAUCAAUCCCAUUGCUAACCCUCAGCCAAAAGACUGAAUGCUCCAUCUGAAGAAGGGAAGUGUUUGUGGUUCAGAUGGAAAUCUUGGUGAUCUCCAGUGCCAGCCCACCUCCCCAUUCCUCCAGCUGAGGGAUCCCAUACACUCCUACCCACACAGAUGGGCCUCAUUCAUGGUGCAGCCUGGUGGUUCCCUCAAGGAAGGAUCUUGGCUGGUGACCCCCAGACCUGCCCACCCGUGGCUGUGAGGUGGCCAAGGCAAACCACUGUGGGUGAUUGUCCUCUUGGUAGUCCUCUGUUUGGGAUUGCUCUCCCCUCCUUGGCCAGGAAGAGGCAUUCCUGGUCAUGAAAAAUCAUUUUUGACAGAGAAAAGCACUGUGCUCCGUGACUCUGGAACUCAGCUGAAAUCUCACCUGCAGCAAGGAGUAACACAAAACAGGCCAUUGAUUUUGUGACACAAGGAGGAGAAGAUGGCCAUGUCUGGAUGGACACAGCUUUUAAAGAAGAAAGCAUGCUUAUUCUACAUAUUUUUCUAAGAGGCUGUGAUCAGCCAGAUAAUGAAGAAGGGUCUGUAGGCUGUCCAGUGGCUGGAUUUCCCCCUCCUUUGUUUUGCUUAGCAGAAAACACAGGUGUUUGUUUUCUUUCUGCUCGGUUUUGGAAUAGAAAUGUUUUUGUCUUCAAUUGCCAAAUAUUCUUCGGACCAGAAAGUCAGAACCCUGCUCUGAUGAGCAGCACGACAGAAAGACACAUUUGCCCCUAUUUUUCUCUGGCUUUGCUGAGGGGUUCCCAUCUGUGGGGCUGCAUUCGUCCCUCCCAGGCUCUGUGGGAUCAAGCAGAAGCCUCCUCGCUGCCCAUUCUCACCACAUCCCUUUGUUCCCAGGAAGCUACAGCAACCUCGUUUUGGAAGCAGGUGGGAGGAGGGAAAACGCUUUUUUUUUUUUUUUUCCCCUUUUAUUCUUUUGCAAGCUUUAAUUAUUGAAGGACUGAAUUUGAGCUGUUCUUGUCUUCUUCCUUCCCAUCAUUUCCCGGACAGCAUUUCUAACAAAGGCCUGUGGCUUGGGUUUGAGGAUUUUUUUUCCUUUUUCUUUUCCCCUCCAGAGAUCUAAGGGAUGUAAUGAGACACCAGCACCCUCUCCUCCCUGCAGCCCCCAGCCCAAGCCCUCCGCCUUGCCAGCCCAUCCCGGCUGUCCUGCUCCCGGGGGAGGGAGGGCACCCGACCUGGACAGUCCUCCUGGGAGGUGAGCACGAUAGAGUUACAAGGGGGAGCAGCUUGCACACUGCCUCCACUUUGAUGAGGGAACAUUUCAUUAUAUCUAUCUCCCCCCAGCCUUCUCCCAGUGAAAAAGAUCUCCUAUUGUCUAGGCUAAUUUGUCCUUUUUGCUUAAUGCCCCAACCUGUGUGCUAAACCCUCAGCUCACGUUACUCCACCACCCAUCUCUCCGACUCCACUACCAGAGCCAUAUAAUGCAAUAGAAGGAGUCUGUGUGUCCUCCUUACGCUCUUUGUGCCCUAGGGCAAUACCAGGAUCUCAAGCCCUUCAGGCACAAAAGAAGUUGGAGCAUGUCAAUUAGGCAUGGCCGUAGAAUCACAGAAUCAUAGAAUCAUUGAAUCAUUAAGGUUGGGAAGGACCACUAAGAUCACCUAGUCUGUCAGCUCAUCACCACCAUACCCACUAUUUUCCUCAGUGCCACGUCUCCAGGUUUCAUGAACACCUCCAGGGACAGUGACUCCACCACCUCCCUGGGCAGCAAGGUGUCUAAAAACCUCCAGAGAUUUGUAUUCCACAGACCCAGGUCUACCGGAGCUUGCAAUGUGGAGCAGUGCCAUACGACCUCACCAUGCCAAGUGUGGUCACAUCGCUUGUGUCAGCUGGGGAGGAUGGAAGAGAGCAGGACCCAUCCUCCCAGACACCUCUCCAAGCUGUAUGUCUGAGGUUCUGUACCAGACAAAGGCCGAGAGCCCAUAAGGAAGCCAAGGAGCUGCCUUUGCCCCUCACUAUGCUCCAGGAGUAGGGAGGCAUCAUCAAAAGGCAUAAUGCAAGGGGCUGGCAUACACAGAGGAUGGGCUGGAGAAAGAGAGCAGAGGAGGGAGGAGAGCAGAGCAGUUGCCAGGCUGACUUGAGCCAGAGUCUUUCAUGGGGGGGCAAGGGGCAGGGAACAUGGAGGAUCAACAUUGUCUUCUCCAAAGAGGAGAAGAAAAGAGUGAGAGAAUGCAGGAGGAAGACAAAGGGAAACAGGACUUGUUGGGGAAAAGAGGGGGACGCUCAGGGAUUGAAGCAGGCUGGGGUCCAACUUAAUAAGAAGCGAACCAAAACAAAACCCAAACAAAAAGUGACUCAAGUUGGCUGUGGGCACCCCCUCCCCCUCCCGCCAUCCCCAGAAGGCAGCAGAGCUGCGGCUUCAAACAGCCGCCUCACAAUAAAUUCAUGGCAGCCAGGGCCGGGAAACAGGCUGCUGCAAUUUAAAGGAAGCGUGGAUUUGCAUAUUGAAUUAAAAUUAAGAGCUAAUUAUGCAAAUAAAUUAUGACAUUUGGCAGGAGAAUUUGCUUCAAGAUCAUUUAUUACGUUCUUUUUAUAACAGUGCGAGCGUUUAACGGUCAAAGACAAUAUUUUAAAGGAAAAUUAACGCAAGAUUAUUAACCUAAAAACAAUUCCACAUUAAUGAGAUGUAUUUCUCUUCAACUUCUCACACCUGGCUGCCUAUUGAUGCCCAGCCAGGACUGUCUCUCAAUAAUUGGCAUUUUUUUUUGCAGGCAAAUAUUGAAUGAGGUGGUGAAUGUUGCUUUGGACAAACUCACUUAGGAAAAUUCCUUCAGGGUUUUAGCUUGCUGGUCUGUAAAGGGAAGUUGUGAAGGUCAAACAUGUUUCAUGUCGUUCUUCUGUGCGCUCGGACCGACUGGAUCCGAAUGCACCUGGGAGAGGACACAGCACCGGGUACCCCAUCCACAUGAGAAUAAAAGCUCUCCUGUGAAAAUGGGCGUGAUUGCUUUUCAGAAGAGAUGUAAAAUGAAGGUCUUAGCCAUUUGUGGUCAUUAAAGGUCCCAUGGCUUUUUUUCAGAAGAUCGGAGCCAUUAGCCCUGGUGUCUUGGCUCCCUCCAGCCCCACCAACUGCUGCUCGCCUGAUGCUGGGACCUUCGUUUGGGGCCACUUUCUGCUCUGCCUGUCCCAGGGUUGUGCAGUGCCAUCAGUGGCCAGGGCUCUCCCACAAGAAGGAAGGCUUCAAGAAAGUUCCAGGUUGAGUUUUGGAUCAGAAAGGUUUGCUGGGACCCUGAGGGAUGCAAAUGGCUCCAGGACUCCAAAGAUGCCCAUUCCCGUCCAUUGUCUGAGAAGAGUACCCAGCCCAGGCUCAUCCCACACAGCUGCAGUGGUUGACUAUUAGCUGGGAGUGUGGCUGUGUGUCUACAGGGUCAGCUCUUGUACAAAUAGGAAAGAGGCCCUGCCAUUGGCUCCUGAUGGAGGAGUAUCUGAAAAAGGAGUUUGGCAAACAAAAUUGGAGUGCUGCAGCCAGAAGGGAUGCUGGGGAGCAGGAAUGCAACUUUUGCAGCCAGGUUUCAGGAGCUCCCAGCUUGAUGUUACAAGGGAGCUGCAGCCAGGAAUGACUGGAGAGGAACAAAAGUCAUACUCAGAUGGCUUAUGUAGCAAGAAAGAAUUUUCCUCCAGGACAGUAUUCUGCAGCUUUGCCAAGAAAGACCAGAGUAAUAUCCUUCGAUCAUCUUCACUCCUCCUGCUUUGCCUCUAGCCCUGGCUAUUCUCCACUGAAAUCUUCACACCCUUAGGGCAGCAUGGGAGGAAAGACACAAUUGAAACUGAUUUCUAAUGUUUGGGGGAAAAUGGAAUCAAGUUUGGGAAUAUUUCAUGGGUCCAAAUAUGAAAAAAUCCAGUAUAUUGGUGUGAAACAGCCUACUGCUCUAGUUGAGCACAUUCCUGAAAGUAUUGAAAUGAGAACACAGAACACAUCCAGGUCUUCAAAAAAGCAUGAGAUGAAGAACAGGACCUGCAGUCACAUAUCCUACCUGAAGCCACUUGGUGUCCUCUCUGAAAACUUUGACCUUCCCAAAUUCUGCUCUCUCUGAGCCAUCCCAGCAGAGGGGAACUCAAUCCAUUGCCACUGCUACUUCAAAAUGGGAAAGUGCAACAACCAGACAAGUGAUGCGAGAAGUCAGCUUGAGCUGGCAAGUCAGUCUGAGGUGAUGGUCUUCUGAAAAGUCUCGGUUCACAGACCUACUACUACUGGCAAGAGGCGCUUGGUAUUUCUCUUCUGCAGCAGAUAGGCUCAGAAGAUGAGAGCAGAGUGAUGAAGUGUGAGACCAGAAGUGUGAGCUUCCCAAAGGUGACAAAAUGGGUUCUCCAGCCUGUUGAUUUGCAAGAAAAGAAAGCUUCAGUGGAACCAAAACAAGAUUAUGGCCAGGUACGUGCAUCACUGAAAUUGCCUGCGACGCGUAAAUCUGCUGUUUGCCCACUCCCACUACAAGCAUAAUUUUGUUUUAUCACUACAGUCUCGUGGUGCCCUACACAACUUGGCAGUCAGUUUCCCAGCAUGAAAUCACACCUGUCUGGAAAAAUGCAUGGAAUAUAGAGAGGCAGAACAAUAUGCAGAGGUGGGCUCUACUUGCAAGGUGUGUGCUCAGAUGGUCUGAGGACCACGGCAAAACAGACGUGGUGUCAUUGUCACAGCCCCUGGGUGCCCUGGCAGUGUUGGAUGGCACACAGCCUGUAUCAUCGCGAGUUCAGUAUGCACUUCACAGAGGUGCUCACUGCUGGCUGUGGGUCUCUGUGCAUCUUACACAUCUGGCUGUCAUUUCAGGUCUCGGUUCCCGUGCUCCCUCUGCCCUGUGCUGAGCCAGGCUUGCCAGCUCCCUGCGGGAGGAGUGAGCAAAGCCGGGCUCUAGCCGGGCGCCUCGAUGGCAUCGACACCACAUGGCAGGUGAUCCUGCACCGCAGUCACGCGAAGCCAAACCUGAGGGCUCCUCCGCAAAGGAGACCCGAGCCCUUUAAGGAAGAGAGGAGCAGAAAUCAAUUGUCUGCUCGCCUUCCUCCCCGGGCCCCCCUUUCUCCCUCCUCCAUCACCACCACCACCACACACGCACCCUAUUCACCCUGCUGGAAGGUGACAUUUGCUAUUAACCUUAUAUUGGGCCAUUUUGUAAAUCAAUGUCACUUACAUUUAAUAACAAGUGUAAUCAAAGGAAUUAUGCAAAUUUAAUUUGAUGCUUCUUGAAUUAUGCAAAUCUGCACCACAUAUAAUGGCUUCUGACAUGUGCCCAGUUGGAGAACGUUCCAUUACCUCCUCUCUUAUUACCCCUAUUAUUAUUUUUAUUUUUUUAUCCUGUGGUGGGGGGGAGGGAGAAGGGAGGGAGCGGCAGUUAGGCUCGGAGGCAGGGGGGACAAGGGAGUGCGGUGGGAAGAGAAGGGAAAGAAGAGGGGUGGUGGAGGAAAGUGCUCCUUUGCCUGCAUUUCGAGUAGCAAAGCCUCCUGAAGGCAUUUCUGUUAUUGUUAUUGCAGAGCAAGGAGAGCGGGGCAGGGGGGGAGGAAUGGGGAUGGGGGGAAUCAUUUCCCAUGAAUGGCUUUGCAGGCAAUAAUACUAUAAGCCUCUGAUUCUAAAUUACUGCCCUUCCAGUCCUAUCUCCAGCACGAUAUUACUCUCCUUGGCCUCCUCUUCCUGAAUUAUAAGGCAAGCUGGGGGAGGGUGAGAGAAGUGGGGAGCAGGACCCAGAGCGCAAUACACAGGGCAAAUGGGUGAAAAAAGGGGGUGCUUCUUGUUGCUCCAGGGCCACCUCAGGUCCUCGUCCUCUGGAGGAUAACUCUUUUUUUUCCCUCUUGACUUUUCCAUUGCUCUCUCAUUUCCUUGCAUGUGACCCUGAGAUCAGAAGACGGAUGCGCCACAAACUGCUGUACCUUCUCAGAAACUUGGGGCAUCAAUACCCAGCAGUAACCCAGCUUCCCUCCUUUGCAACAGCUUCAGUGUCCACAGCACCACAAGUCAGAGUGGACCUGCCUCCUCCUACAUUGCCUUUUCUUGUUAGAGAGGAUUUGAUGAGCAGUUCUGGGCCACAUUUCCCUCUGCCGUACUACUCACAACAACUGCAGAGUGACUCUUUUCAUGACAACUGAUGCAGUGUGACCUUAGGCAAAAGCAAUCCCACGCGUGUCUUGGUGUCUUCAUGCUCGUAGAAUGCACAUAAAGAACUUCAUCUACC